rnacentral:rRNA from 1 species
UACCAGCUCUCCGAGUGGUAGGGAUGAUUAUUGGGCUUAAAGCGUCCGUAGCCGGCUUAGCAAGUUUCCUGUUAAAUUCAGCGACCUAAUCGUUGAGCCGCGGGAAAUACUACUAGGCUAGGAGGCGGGAGAGGUCGACGGUACUUCUGGGGUAGGGGUGAAAUCCUAUAAUCCCGGGAGGACCACCAGUGGCGAAGGCUGUCGACUAGAACGCGCUCGACGGUGAGGGACGAAAGCGUGGGGGAGCGAACCGGAUUAGAUACCCGGGUAGUCCCAGCUGUAAACGAUGCGGGCUAGGUGUUGGGGUGGCUACGUGCCACUUCAGUGCCGCAGGGAAGCCAUUAAGCCCGUCGCCUGGGGAGUACGGCCGCAAGGCUGAAACUUAAGGAAUUGGCGGGGGAGCACCACAAGGCGUGAAGCUUGCGGUUC